GAUGCAGCGCGCGAGGACGAGGUGUACGUCGAGGAGGCGGAGGCCGAACUCGCGGGUGGCGGCGCGGCUGCAGACGAUGGGGGAGGACGCCGCGGGCGAGGAAGUAAACGGUCUCGGCGGCGUAGGGAACCUCUUCAGGGGAGAGGCGGAGCGACAGUGGGCCAAGGCCAUUGUUGGUGGGUGCUCAUUUCAGAGAGAAAGAGAGAGAGAGAGAGAGAGAAAGAUAUCUUUUUUCUUCUUCUCUUUUCUUUUAUUUUUUUAUUUUUUUAGGAGAGAGAGAGAGAGAGCUUUGAUCGUGGCAUCAAUGGAGAAAAGUAUUAUUAUUACCUUUCUUUUUCUUCUUUCGUAGGGAGGAGUAGUGGGAUUUUUUUUUGUUAGGGAUGGGUUUGAGAGUUGAAAAAAAACAAAAAACAGUGCCUUCUCCCUUUUUCAUUGGGAGAUAUUUAUGGGGCCAAUUGAAACUACCUAGGAUUUUUCCUUUUAUUUAUUUAUUUUUUUUUUAGGACGUGCGUGUAGUGGGGUUAAUGGGAGAGGUAGGAGAGGUGGGAAGUUAGGAUAUUUUGGUUAUGGGAUCAUGGGUAUAAUAUUACAAAUUAAUCCCUUUAUUUUGCUUAUAUUAUAUUUUAGUUAAAAUAACAAAAUAUUAUAUGUUUGAAGUGGAGUAUCUUGCAAAUAUAUGAAAGGAAAAGGAUUAAUUUGCUAUUUGUAAUACCCAUGC
rnacentral:lncRNA from 1 species